GGCCCCUUCGUCUAGUGGUUAGGACGUCAGGUUUUCGACCUGAGAACAGGGGUUCGAUUCCCCUAGGGGUCACUA
rnacentral:tRNA from 1 species